GAAUAUCUAUAGUACUUAAUAUUAAUAAACUGCAUAGAAACACACAUACCUACCAUUACCAAAAAGAAGUUGAAUAAUAGAACAAUGUAUGCAGCAGUGCAUAUGCUGUAUCAACCAAAGGGACUUACAAAGCACCCCCAAAAAAAAAGUCUAUCAUGCAAGGCUCUAUAAUUAAGUAAACAUUAGGAUUUUGACAUCAAAGUAUAUUUUGAACUAAACAUUUUUCCAAUUAUUUAUUAUUGCGCCCAACAAAUUAGAUCCUUUUUGUGCAAAUUAUUCAAAAGUCAUUUUCUUCUUAUCAAUUAAAAUCCUUUCAUUGUCAAAGAUACGUGGUGUGUGUGCGGUUUUGUGUUUUUCGCUUCUCAGAUAGACAAUUCUCCCACUUUAAUCAUCAGAACUGCAAAAAGUGCAAACGCCUUCAAGGAAAUCUUUCUUGUUCACCAUCACAAGUAUUCCAUCUUCUUAAUUUUCUGAGGACUCGAUUAAGAUCUUAUACAGGGAACAAAUUCAAACAUACUUAGUUAAAGUAGUUACCCCCAAAAAAAAAUCAACCAUACUAUGUCUUUCUCAGAUAACUAAUAGGUGAGUUCAUUCUAAACAAAAUGCAAAACCAACUUGUUCAUUCAUCAUCACCUCCAAUAUGUACUCUAAGCAAAAGUACAGUUUUUGGAACUGUCAAUUCCAAUAAAAACUCAAUUAGUUAGAAGAAAUAUGGAAGAAAACUGUUACCUUAAAGUUUGGAAAAUUUUUGCAAAUUAGACUUAUUUUGUGGGACAGAGGGAGUAAUAAAUAAUAAUUACAAAAUUUCAUCGGGUCUUUUAUUUGGCUACUGAGAAAACAUGGAUUAACUAAGGAAAAAUAAAAAUAUCAGACAUUUACAAACUCAUACUCCAUUUCCUUACUUUUCCUCUGUUUCUCAGUAACCAAGCAUAGGCUAAUAAAUUUCAUUGCUACAAUUACGUUACUAAUUAUUUGUCAUACCUAAAGAUAACCCCCAUUCAACCAAAUCUCCUCGCAUUUAUGGUAAAUAAACUCAAAUCAAAAACAAAAUCCAAAAAAAUAAAAUCGUAUCCAAUUUUAUCAAAUUGAGCAAUUCAAAAACUCUUAAAACUUCUAUUUAAAAAAAUGGGCAUUCCAAUCAAAACACACAAAAAACAACAUAAUCUGAAUAUGCGUUCAAACAUUGGGACUAAACAAUGUCCGAUUUUCAUCAACAUUCACACAAAAUCCUUCUCAAACUAGAAAAAAGUGAAGAAAUCUUCAGGAAAAAUUCAACCAAACAAUAAAACAGUAAAAAAAAACAGAUAAGAACUCAUAAAUGUAUUUGGAUAUAGAAGAGAGAACCAACAUUGAAGAGCUUUGGAGCAGAGGAGUUAAUUGCUGAGAAAUGGACAAUGAAAUUGAAAGGAAAUGGAGACUAGGAGGUUUCUUUUGGAUCUUUCUCUCCCUCUCUACAACUACAUAAACUUCUCUCAAUCUCUCUCACUACUCUGCCUCUCAUCCAUUUUCUCUCUCUACAGCUUUCUCUCUCUAGACCAUCAUAUCAUACUCUCUCUCUC
rnacentral:lncRNA from 1 species